rnacentral:ribozyme from 1 species
AAAAAAACUGACAAUUAAUGAAAACAAAAUAAAACAACAAACAAACAAAUAAAAACGCAGGCUAGUCAACAAUCUUGUCUACUCGACAACCCUUUGCUUUGCUUUGCUUUGCUUUACGUUCCUCUUUUGCAGAUAGUUUUU